GGGGAAUCUUGCGCAAUGGGCGAAAGCCUGACGCAGCAAUGCCGCGUGAGGGAAGAAGGUCUUAGGAUUGUAAACCUCUUUCAGCAGGGACGAAAACAGACGGUACCUGCAGAAGAAGCCCCGGCUAACUACGUGCCAGCAGCCGCGGUAAUACGUAGGGGGCGAGCGUUGUCCGGAAUCAUUGGGCGUAAAGAGCGUGUAGGUGGACUGGAAGGUCUGGUGUGAAAGCCCGGGGCUCAACCCCGGAGGGUCACUGGAAACCAACAGUCUUGAGUCCGGAAGAGGAGAGUGGAAUUCCUAGUGUAGCGGUGGAAUGCGCAGAUAUUAGGAGGAACACCAAUGGCGAAGGCAGCUCUCUGGUACGUGACUGACACUGAGACGCGAAAGCGUGGGGAGCGAAC
rnacentral:rRNA from 1 species